UCAAGUAAAGGAAGAGCACAAGGCGGAUGCCUUGGCAGCUGAAGGCGAUGAAGGACGUAGUAACCUGCGAUAAGCUUCGGGGAGCUGGUAAACAAGCUUCGAUCCGGAGAUGUCCGAAUGGGAAAACCCAAUAUACAUAAGUAUAUUAUUCUAUUCUGAAUUCAUAGGAAUAGAAGGCAAACCUAGGGAACUGAAACAUCUAAGUACCUAGAGGAAAAGAGAUCAAUUGAUAUUCCGUUAGUAGCGGCGAGCGAAAGCGGAUCAGCCCUUAAGCUUUAAUUAAUUUAGCAAAACAUUCUGGAAAGUAUGGCCAUAGUAGGUGAUAGCCCUGUAUGCGAAAAGUUUUUUAAAGUGAAAUCGAGUAGGUCGGGACACGUGAAAUCUUGACUGAAUAUGGGGGGACCAUCCUCCAAGGCUAAAUACUCUAUGCUGACCGAUAGUGAACCAGUACCGUGAGGGAAAGGCGAAAAGAACCCCGGCGAGGGGAGUGAAAUAGAACCUGAAACCUUGUGCUUACAAGCAGUCGGAGCAGACUUGUUCUGUGACGGCGUACCUUUUGUAUAAUGGGUCAACGACUUAAUUUCAGUAGCAAGCUUAACCAAUUAGGGUAGGCGUAGGGAAACCGAGUCUUAAUAGGGCGUUUAGUUUCUGGAAUUAGACCCGAAACCGGGUGAUCUAUCCAUGGCCAGUGUGAAGGUCGAGUAACAUCGACUGGAGGCGCGAACCCACUUAUGUUGAAAAAUGAGGGGAUGAGCUGUGGAUAGGAGUGAAAGGCUAAUCAAACCCGGAGAUAGCUGGUUCUCUUCGAAAACUAUUUAGGUAGUGCCUCGUGUAUUACCAUAGGGGGUAGAGCACUGUUUCGGCUAGGGGGUCAUCCCGACUUACCAAACCGAUGCAAACUCCGAAUACCUAUGAGUAUGAGCACGGGAGACAGACUGCGGGUGCUAACGUCCGUAGUCGAGAGGGAAACAACCCAGACUGUCAGCUAAGGUCCCUAAUUAUGAUUAAGUGGGAAACAAUGUGGGAAGGCACAAACAGCUAGGAGGUUGGCUUAGAAGCAGCCACCCUUUAAAGAAAGCGUAAUAGCUCACUAGUCGAGUCGGCCUGCGUGGAAGAUAUAACGGGGCUAAAUCAUAAACCGAAGCUACGGAUCUUAAAUUUAUUUAAGAUGGUAGAAGAGCGUUCUGUAAGCGGCUGAAGGCGUGCUGUGAGGCAUGCUGGACGUAUCAGAAGUGCGAAUGUUGACAUGAGUAACGAUCAAAGAGGUGAAAAACCUCUUCGCCGAAAAUCCAAGGUUUCCUGUCCAACGCUAAUCGUGGCAGGGUGAGUCGGCUCCUAAGGCGAGGGCGAAAGCCGUAGUCGAUGGAAAACAGGUUAAUAUUCCUGUACUUCUUAUAAUUGCGAUGGGGUGACGGAGAAGGUUAGACUAGCACGGCGAUGGUUGUCCGUGUUUAAGGUUGUAGACUUAGAUCUUAGGUAAAUCCGGGAUCUUUUAAGGUUGAGAACUGACGACGACCACUCAUUGAGUGGGAAGUAGUUUAUACCAUGCUUCCAGGAAAAACCUCUAAGCUUCAGAUUAUAAGGAACCGUACCCUAAACCGACACAGGUGGAUAAGUCGAGAAGACUAAGGUGUUUGAGAGAACUAUGGUGAAGGAACUAGGCAAAAUGGUACCGUAACUUCGGGAGAAGGUACGCCACCAUUGGUGAUAAGACUUGCUCUUUAAGCUGAUGGUGGUCGAAGAAACUAGGUGGCUGCAACUGUUUAUUAAAAACAUAGCACUCUGCAAAAUCGUAAGAUGACGUAUAGGGUGUGACGCCUGCCCGGUGCCGGAAGGUUAAUUGAUGGGGUUAGCUUCGGCGAAGCUCCUGAUCGAAGCCCCGGUAAACGGCGGCCGUAACUAUAACGGUCCUAAGGUAGCGAAAUUCCUUGUCGGGUAAGUUCCG
rnacentral:rRNA from 1 species